rnacentral:rRNA from 1 species
AUACGUAGGGGGCGAGCGUUGUCCGGAAUGAUUGGGCGUAAAGGGCGCGUAGGCGGCCUGUUAAGUCUGGAGUGAAAGUCCUGUUUUCAAGAUGGGAAUUGCUUUGGAUACUGAUGGGCUUGAGUGCAGGAGAGGUUAUCGGAAUUCCCGGUGUAGCGGUGAAAUGCGUAGAGAUCGGGAGGAACACCAGUGGCGAAGGCGGGUAACUGGACUGCAACUGACGCUGAGGCGCGAAAGUGUGGGGAGCAAACAGGAUUAGGUACCCUGGUAGUCCACACUGUAAACGAUGAAUGCUAGGUGUAAGAGGUAUCGACCCCUUUUGUGCCGGAGUUAACACAAUAAGCAUUCCGCCUGGGGAGUACGGCCGCAAGGUUGAAACUCAAAUGAAUUGGCGGGG